AGCGAACGCUGGCGGCAUGCCUAACACAUGCAAGUCGAACGGCACCUUCGUGACUAGUUGCUCACGGGUGUGUCACGCGUCGGACCGUUCCCUUAUGCUCCGAACACCUCUUUUUCAUGGGUGCUAAUACCGGAUAAUUUCUUCUGAUAACAGAUUUAUCGCCCUUGUAUGAGCCCGCGUUCUUUUAGCUUUUGGGUAUGGUAAAAGCCUAUCACGGCUACGAUCAAUAGCUGGUCUGAGACGAAGGACAGCCACACUGGGAAUGGGACACGGCCCAGGAACCUAAGGGAGGGAGCAGUGGGGAAUAAUGGACAAAGGGCGAAAGCCUGAACCAGCCAAGGCGGGUGAAAGAAGAAAGCAUUAGGGAUGUAAAGAUGUUUUACCCGGGAUGAUAAAGACAGUACCGGGAAAAUAAGCUCCGGCUAACUCCGUG
rnacentral:rRNA from 1 species